UACGGGGGGAGCAAGCGUUGUUCGGAUUUACUGGGCGUAAAGGGCGCGUAGGCGGUCAGCACAAGUCAGUUGUGAAAUCUCCGGGCUUAACUCGGAAAGGUCAACUGAUACUGUGCGACUAGAGUGCGGAAGGGGCAACUGGAAUUCUCGGUGUAGCGGUGAAAUGCGUAGAUAUCAGGAGGAACACCCGUAGCGAAGGCGGCACUCUGGGCCGAUACUGACACUGAGGAGCGAAAGCGUGGGGAGCGAACAGG
rnacentral:rRNA from 1 species